UAAUCCGGGUUGCGGACAGUGUCUGGUGGGUAGUUUGACUGGGGCGGUCUCCUCCUAAAGAGUAACGGAGGAGCACGAAGGUUGGCUAAUCCUGGUCGGACAUCAGGAGGUUAGUGCAAUGGCAUAAGCCAGCUUGACUGCGAGCGUGACGGCGCGAGCAGGUGCGAAAGCAGGUCAUAGUGAUCCGGUGGUUCUGAAUGGAAGGGCCAUCGCUCAACGGAUAAAAGGUACUCCGGGGAUAACAGGCUGAUACCGCCCAAGAGUUCAUAUCGACGGCGGUGUUUGGCACCUCGAUGUCGGCUCAUCACAUCCUGGGGCUGAAGUAGGUCCCAAGGGUAUGGCUGUUCGCCAUUUAAAGUGGUACGCGAGCUGGGUUUAGAACGUCGUGAGACAGUUCGGUCCCUAUCUGCCGUGGGCGCUGGAGAACUGAGGGGGGCUGCUCCUAGUACGAGAGGACCGGAGUGGACGCAUCACUGGUGUUCGGGUUGUCAUGCCAAUGGCACUGCCCGGUAGCUAAAUGCGGAAGAGAUAAGUGCUGAAAGCAUCUAAGCACGAAACUUGCCCCGAGAUGAGUUCUCCCUGAGACUUAGAGUCUCCUGAAGGAACGUUGAAGACGACGACGUUGAUAGGCCGGGUGUGUAAGCGCAGCGAUGCGUUGAGCUAACCGGUACUAAUGAACCGUGAGGCUUAACCUU
rnacentral:rRNA from 1 species